GAUGAACGCUGGCGGCGUGCCUAACACAUGCAAGUCGAGCGAAAAGACGCUGAGCUUGCUCCUCUGACGUUAGCGGCGGACGGGUGAGUAACACGUGGAUAACCUACCUAUAAGACUGGGAUAACUUCGGGAAACCGGAUCUAAUACCGGAGAAUAUAUUGAACCGCAUGGUGCAAUAGUGAAAUACGGUUUUGCUGUCACUUAUAGAUGGAUCCGCGCCGGAUUAGCGAGUUGGUAAGGUAACGGCUUACCAAGGCAACGAUGCGUAGCCGAGCUGAGAGGGUGAUCGGCCACACUGGAACGGAGACACGGUCCAGACUCCUACGGGAGGCAGCAGUAGGGAAUCUUCCGCAAUGGGCGAAAGCUUGACGGAGCAACGCCGCGUGAGUGAUGAAGGUCUUCGGAUCGUAAAACUCUGUUAUUAGGGAAGAACAAAUGUGUAAGUAACUAUGCACGUCUUGACGGUACCUAAUCAGAAAGCCACGGCUAACUACGUG
rnacentral:rRNA from 1 species